rnacentral:lncRNA from 1 species
GUUUCUGGUACUUGGACCUCCUUCUAGAAGCUCUAAUCUCAUGCCAACAACAUUUCCAAGCCGAGGAUUCCGACGUCUUCGUCACCUCCACUCCCAAAUGCGGCACCACGUGGCUGAAGGCCAUCGCCUUCGCCCUACUUAACCGGAGGCGGCACCCUGCCACCUCCGGAGACCACCCCCUCAUCUCCAGCAACCCUCACGACCUCGUGCCCUUCCUCGAGAUGGGCCUUUACGGCAGCAGCAAAGCCCUCGACAUCGCCUCGUUCCCCUCCCCGCGCCUCCUCGCCACCCACGUGCCGUAUUCCUCUCUCCCGGAGUCGAUCAGGAGCAGCGGCUCCAAGUGCAAGAUCCUGUACGUGGCGAGGGACCUGAAGGACGCCUUGGUGUCGGAGUGGCACUUCUUGGCUAGUUCCGGCCGGGUGCCGGAGUUGACGAUGGCGGAGACGUUCAAGGAAUUUUGCGAGGGAUUGAACAUCUAUGGGCCAUUUUGGGAUCAUGUUCUUGGAUACUGGAAGCAGAGCUUGGAAAACCCUGAUAGGGUUUUGUUCCUCAAGUACGAGGAUAUGAAGGCCAGGCCAGCCGCGGAGGUGCGCCGCGUGGCGGAGUUCCUCGGCUGCCCCUUCUCCGCGGAGGAGGAGGAAGCUGGGGAGGUUGAUCGGAUCGUGGAACUGUGUAGCUUUGAAGGUCUCAGUGGAUUGGAAGUGAACAAGAAGGGGAAACAAGAGGUGACUGGUGUGGCCAUUGUGGAUAACAGCUCUCUCUUUCGUCGAGGAGAGGUGGGGGAUUGGAAAAAUCAUUUAUCGCCGGAGAUGGCGAAGAGGAUUGAUCGGAUUGUUGAAGAGAAGUUUUCUGCGUCGGGAUUAUUUCUAUGAAUAUAAUUCUCCAUUACAUUUCUGGUUUAAACCACGAAUCACAACUUAAUCAUGCAAAACAACGAUGAUCAAUCCCAAUCCCACAUGUAUCCAAUACAUAUUAAAUAAUUUAUAAUUAGUCAAAUGUGAUAAUUUUAUUUUAAGGGUUAUUACCGUCUAAAUGCGCCAACUUAGUUUCUUUCAGUUUCAAAUAUCAACAUAACUUUUUGAUUUUUUUUUAUUAAAAUACCUAAACUGUAAUACUUACUCACUUUUUGAAAUUGACCCACAUUUCUUCUAAAUUGAAUCUGAGGUGACAUAUCUGAAAAAUAAUUAAGACUGGGUUGGUAAUCGAUCCAGUUCGAUUUUAAUCGAACCGAUUUUUUGGUUAAUCGGAACCGAAUAAGGGCAAUUUCACCUCUAAUGGACCAGAUUUUAACCAAUUAACCGAAUCGGUUAGCCGAUUAACAGGAAAUAACCGAUUUGUUUAAUACUGAUUUGUAAAACAAAGUAAUUAUUUUCCAAACAGUAAAAUAAUGUGUUGUUGAUCUACUCUAUAACAAUGUCCUCCUGUCCCCAACGGAAUCAAUGGCUCCAGCUGUGUUCUUGGAUCCAUUGUAAAAUUUCUUAAGAAAUUAUAGAGAUUGGAAAUUCAGAGUCAUGGUGAGAAUGCUGGUGAUAACACUGUUAACUUGAUCUAAGCAUAUGUUGUACGGAUUCAUUCUCAAGGUGUUUAAGUUUUAAUUUGUGGUUCUAUAAGAAAACCGAUCAACUGAAUUCUGGAGAAUUCGAUAACCGAACCGGUGAAAAUCGUUAUAGGUUAACCGAUUAACAGAAAAUUCGGUUCGGUUACGGUUAUAACAAAUUAACCGAACCCGUUUUACCACUCCUAAUUUAGACUCAUCGGCGAUAUACUUCAAUACGACGUUAUACUGAGUAUUUGUUCUCCAUGAGUCCUAAUCAUCUUUCAUAUAUAUGCCAUAUUUGAUUCAAUUCAGAGGAAAUUGGGAUCUGUGUUAAAAAUGAAGUAAGUAUUAAAAUUAAUAUAUUUAAAUAAAAAAUUAAAACUUUAUGUUAAAAUUUAAAAUUGGAGGAAUGUUUGUGUAAUUAAACAAUAAUAAUUCUUAGUUUAAUUAUUAGGGUUUAUAAAUUUACAAUUAGAUUUUUUAUUUUUUAUUAACUUAAUUUUUUUAAAAAUAAAAGUUAAAUAUAUUUUUAAUAGGAUAGACAUACAAAAAAUUAUAAUAUACCAGAUCCGCACAUUUAAUGAGUGCUAAUACAAAGUCAUAAUUCCAUGUUCAUCCCACAUGCAUCGCCAUGUGGUUAUCACUUCAGCUUGGAUUUAGGCUAUUAUUUUAGUUAGUCGUGACAAAUUUACGAAAAAAGAAAAAGAAGUGAAGUUUGUGUAUCAAGAGAAAAUAUUUUAAUGUCACGUACACAACCAAAAAUGCUAUUCCCGCCGUCUGCGAUAUCGUUUUCACUUUCAUUUAUAGAAGUAGGGUCCACAAACUUUCACUCACAACAAUAGUGGGACCCAAACUCCACUCACUACAUAUCCACUACUAUUCACCACUUUUCUUAAAACCCGUGCCGUCCACAAUGUGGAAACAAAUUGCGGACGGAGGAGUAAAAAUUCAUGUAUUUGAAGCACGUACUGGNNNNNNNNNNNNNNNNNNNNNNNNNNNNNNNNNNNNNNNNNNNNNAUAUAUAUAUAUAUAUAUUAUAUAUAUAUAUAUAUAGGGAGAGGUUCAAGAAAGAACCAUAAAUAAAAGAAGAACGGAGAACCAUUUGCAGCCAUUCGAUCAUCAAGAUCUACGGUGGAUGCAUCAUCUUAUUGGAUGAAUGCAGAUCUUGGAUUCGAAUCCUGAAGGGGGUAUUUUUUUUUAUUCUUUAGAGUGCAUUAAUUUUAACAGCGAAUGCAUUAAUUUUUACAGUGGAUGCAUUAAAUUUGAUGAUUCUCACGUUCUCACAACUAAUAUAGUUCUCUCUAGAACCCACACCCCUAUAUAUAUAUAUAUAUAUAUAUAUAUAUAUAUAUAUAUAUAUAUGUUUUUUAACCUUAAAAUUCAUAUUUAAAAAAGAAAAGGUUGUAGAACAAUUCUAGCAAAAAAAAACUUCAACUCCAUUCAUGCCAUUUUUUUACUAGUAUAAAAAUUAAACAAAAUACUUUUAUUUUAUUUUUUAUUUGUACUUCUUUUGCAAAAUAGAAAGGUGAGAAUCUUUAGUGAAAAUAAAUUAUUAUUUUCUCAUCGUCGAACACAAAUCAUUCUUAUUACCUACCGACUAUCGUUCAACCUAUUUCAUGUAUGUCCGUCUUAAUUUGUCUCGAAUUCUUCCGUUUGAAUUCAAGUGUAAGGGAUGACAAUAGACUGAAUCUAGAUCAGAUUUUUCUAGGUCAAAAUCAAGAUACAAAUUCAAGUUUUUUAAUUUAGGUCUGGAUCUAAUUCAGAUCUUAAAGAUCUACAUGAUCUCAGAUCCAGAUUCAUAUUUAUAUUUUUUCUUUUGAAAAUAAAGUUUAAAUAAAAAAAAUCAUUAUGACAUCAUAAUAUUAAUUGUUUAAAAUUUAUACAGUCAUUCAAAAAUAACUUUAUUACACUCCAAUUCAUUAAAAAGCAUUACAAUAAUCCAAAAAAGUCAUAAUAAUAUCAUCAAAAUACAAAAUCAUCCAAAACCAAUACGAAACAUUUCAAGUUCAACAAUAUAUGUACUUGUCAAGGUUGAAAUAAGGCUGUGAAACAAGGGAAUAAAGAUUUUUUUUACUAUGAAAAAUUAAUGCUACGGUUAUAACAUAAAAAUAAAAAUAAAAUAAUAUUUCCCUCUGUCCCAUUAGUAAUGUCUCAGUUAGUAUAUUAAGACGUCCCACCAGUAAAGUCUCAUACCUUUUUUAAUAAAAGAUUAACUAUUUAAAAUAUUAUUAAUGAUAGGUCAAACUCAUUUUAUACACUAAUUAUACUUUUUCUUAAUUUUCGUAUUAAAAAAUAAUGAGACAUUACUAAUGAGGUGGAUGAGUAUAAAUUAAAUGGAUCUUUAGAGCACUCCCAACAGAAAUCCCAAAAUUAUGCUCCUAUAUUUCUCCCCUCCCUAAAGCUUCCCUAUUUAAUUUUAGGAUCUCGAUUUUAUAAAUGCAUGCACCAGAUCUCCUAUUUUCUACAUAAAAAUAAUAAUUAUGUGUGGGCCCUACUAAUUAUAAGUUUAAAAUAAAUUUAGGGUGAGUGCAAAUUUAAGAUUGAAUUUAGGUAUAUAGGUGUAAAAAAAUUUGUGGGCCCCAUCCAAUUUAGGGGAUCUGCUGGAUGCAUUUUUUAUCUCAUUUUUAAUUGUUUUAGCCUAAAUUUAGAUUUAGUGAUGCAUUUAAGUGAUCUGCUGGUAGUGCUCUUAGACCGGAUUUGAAUCUCAAAAAUAUGAGCUAGUGUUAGCCCAGAUCCUUUGGGUCCUAUAGUGUAAGAUCUCUAUAUCCAAAAAUUGGAUCUGAAUCAACUGAUCUGAACCAUAUAUCCAAGAUCUACCCCUUCUAAUAUUAAAUUUUUUUACAUAUAUUUUAAUAUAAUUAUUUAUGGCACCCGAAAUAUAAAAUUCUAACUUCAUGUGAUAUCUUUUUCUGACUCAACUUACCCCAAUUAUAUAUAUAGACCUCAUGCAUACAAACCUAAACACCACACAUAAACCCCACCCAAAUCUACGCGAUACACAAAAAUGUCAGCAUCUUCAAAUUUCUUCCGAUCGCCACAACUAUCUCAAGACUUCAAAGAGUUCCUCUCCACUCUCCCCAGAGAAAAAGGAAAAGACUCUCUCUACCGCUAUCAUUAUCAAGGUUUCUGGUACUUGGACCUCCUUCUAGAAGCUCUAAUCUCAUGCCAACAACAUUUCCAAGCCGAGGAUUCCGACGUCUUCGUCACCUCCACUCCCAAAUGCGGCACCACGUGGCUGAAGGCCAUCGCCUUCGCCCUACUUAACCGGAGGCGGCACCCUGCCACCUCCGGAGACCACCCCCUCAUCUCCAGCAACCCUCACGACCUCGUGCCCUUCCUCGAGAUGGGCCUCUACGGCAGCAGCAAAGCCCUCGACAUCGCCUCGUUCCCCUCCCC